rnacentral:rRNA from 1 species
GAGGAGCCUGCGGCAGAUUAGCUAGUUGGUAAGGUAACGGCUUACCAAGGCGAUGAUCUGUAGCCGGCCUGAGAGGGCGGUCGGCCACACUGACACUGACAUACGGGUCAGACUCCUACGGGAGGCAGCAGUCGGGAAUUUUGGGCAAUGGGCGAAAGCCUGACCCAGCAACGCCGCGUGAAGGAUGAAAUCCUUCGGGAUGUAAACUUCGCAAGAACGGGAAGAAUAAGUGAGAGUUAAUAUCUCUUACGAUGACGGUACUGUUUGUAAGCUCCGGCUAACUCCGUGCCAGCAGCCGCGGUAAUACGGGGGGAGCAAGCGUUGUUCGGAUUUACUGGGCGUAAAGGGCGCGUAGGCGGCCACCGCAAGUCGACUGUGAAAUCUCCGGGCUUAACCCGGAAAGGUCAGCCGAUACUGCGGGGCUAGAGUGCAGAAGGGGCAACUGGAAUUCUCGGUGUAGCGGUGAAAUGCGUAGAUAUCGAGAGGAACACCUGCGGCGAAGGCGGGUUGCUGGGCUGACACUGACGCUGAGGCGCGAAAGCUAGGGGAGCGAACGGGAUUAGAUACCCCGGUAGUCCUAGCCUUAAACGAUGGAUGCUUGGUGU